GUGCUAAUUGAGAGAAAUCAAAGGAGAUGAGACUACAGAACAGGUGAAUCAGCAAGCCAAGUUUUCUUCCACGGAACCAUUUGCACGGGUUAUUUAGUUCCUGGCUUCAAUCAGCUUUGCAGGGCUAAACACAAUCCAUGGAAGAUAUAGACUUGGAAAGUGUGCCGGAGGAAGGUAGAGACAAUGAAAAGCCAUAUCAUUGUGAAACUGAACAUUGGAAUAGGCAUAUUUCAUUUGUUUAAGAAUCUUUUCAUUGGUAUUUUUGCAGGGAUAAGCUGUGGUUUUAAUUUUACAU